AUUUUGGACAAUGGGGGAAACCCUGAUCCAGCCAUCCCGCGCGUAGGAUGAAGGCCUUCGGGUUGUAAAGUACUUUUGGCAGAGAAGAAAAGGUAUCUCCUAAUACGAGAUACUGCUGACGGUAUCUGCAGAUUAAGCACCGGCUAAUUACGUGCCAGCAGCCGCGGUAAUACGUAGGGUGCAAGCGUUAAUCGGAAUUACUGGGCGUAAAGCGUGUGUAGGCGGUUCGGAAAGAAAAAGUUGAGAUCCCAGAGCUCAACCUUGGGACUGCAUUUUGAACUGCCGAGCUAGAGUAUGGCAGAGGGGGGUGGAAUUCCACGUGUAGAAGUGAAAUGCGUAGAUAUGUGGAGGAAUACCGAUGGCGAAGGCAACCCCCUGGGAUAAUGCUGACGCUCAGACACGAAAGCGUGGGGAGCAAACAG
rnacentral:rRNA from 1 species